rnacentral:rRNA from 1 species
AUUGAACGCUGGCGGCAGGCUUAACACAUGCAAGUCGAACGAGUGGCGGACGGGUGAGUAAUGUUUGGGAAACUGGCUGAUGGAGGGGGAUAACUACGGGAAACGGUAGCUAAUACCGCGUACCAUAGGAUGAGCCCAAGUGGGAUUAGGUAGUUGGUGGGGUAAAGGCUCACCAAGCCGACGAUCUCUAGCUGGUCUGAGAGGAUGACCAGCCACACGGGAACUGAGACACGGCCCAGACUCCUACGGGAGGCAGCAGUGGGGAAUAUUGCACAAUGGGGGCAAGCCUGACGCAGCCAUGCCGCGUGAAUGAAGAAGGCCUUCGGGUUGUAAAGUUCUUUCGGUAGCGAGGCGUUAACCACAGAAGAAGCACCGGCUAACUCCGUGCCAGCAGCCGCGGUAAUAC